ensembl:lncRNA
UAUAUAUAUAUAUUGUAUUUUCUAUUCCGUUGUCUUGGAGUCCACUCUAUGACACUCUCUAUGACACUCUCCACUCUAUGACAACGGAAUGGAAUGGAACGGAACGGAACGGAAUGGAAUGGAAUGAAAUGGAAUGGAAUCUUCAAGGCCAAGUUCCAGAAAGAAUUAGAUUCAUCUGUUCAUUGCUAUUCUGAACACAGGACAGAGCACUGCAUAUUUUUGUGUGAGAGAAUUAAUCAGCGACGUUUGUCCUUAACAAGACUUAAUUAAGUAGCCUUUCGAUGGAUAUAUCACCAUUCUUCAAAGACCACAUGGAGUCGUUAACGGCAAACAAACAAACAGCCUUUUUCAAGGCUUCCAGCCUAUUUACAGGCAUCCCACCAGCCUUUUCCCCUUUCCCCUUUUUCUCGGGACUCCUCCCAACGGAUACAAGGUGAACAUGGCACUUUCUCGUGCCCGGGAUGAAGUGCACUACCUGAAAAGGAAGGUGAGCGAACUCAGUGCUCACACUGAAACUGGGAGGUACAGUUUGACCAACCUGUUUAAAGGCAAAGAUCUUGCCUAUGAGCAGACAAGAACAGAAAGAAGUUUUCAGACCACAUCAGGGAGAACAAGGGUUUGUCUCUGAAGCUCCACAGAGACCACCGAACAACUCGUUGUCCAAAAUGCUGAACCCACGGUCCAGCAGCAGGCCAACAACCAACGGUUGAAAGCAGAACACAAACUGCUAAAGAGCAAGACAGAGGCUCUGGCUGAGGUUAUCGGGGAAAAGAAGAGUUUGUUUCUGAAGCUCUUUGAGUACGGCGAACAACUCUUCGUCAAAAGUGCUGAACUCACGGUCAACAAAGGGACCUGGCAGCAGAAGUUGGAGGAAAAGACAUUCAAGGAACAGUCUUUGGAGUAAGUAACAGGGUUACUCUCCACCAACAUUUCUCUUCAAGAGGAGCUGCACAAGCAGCAGGCCAACAACCAGCAGUUGGUAGAAGAACACAAACUGCUAAAGAUCAAGACAGAGGCUCUGGAUGAGACUAUCAGGGAGAACGAAGGUUUAUCUCUGAAGCUCACCGAGACCACAAAACAACUUUCUGUCAAAAGUGCUGAACUCAGGGUCAACAACGAGACGUGGCAGCAGUUGGAAGCAGAAAACAAACUGCUGAAGACCCAGAGGGAUUCUCUGGCUGCUUUAAAAAAGAGCCAAGAGGAAACCCACCACGAGAUGGUCACUAGCACUGAGCUGGACACCUGUAAGAACACCUUCCUUCACCUCCCACUCCAUCCUACCUCAUCCAUCUACCCUGAAAAAAACUAAAAAAAGAUCUAAAAAAAAAAAAAGAGAUCUGAAAAAAAGAGAUCUAAAAAAGAAAGAUCUAAAAAAAAAAAAAGAUCCCAGAGGGAUUCUCUGGCUGCUUAUUUUUUUUACAACCUAAUCAGGUUUGCACAUUUCCCUUACCUGAUUUCUGCCUUAUUUUUAUUUCAUGUACAUUUAUUUAAAUAUUGUUUUGUUAUUUUUUAUUUUUUAAUUGGUCGGCUUUAAUUAACUGUACUGUUAAUUUAUAUUGCACACAUUUCAUUUCAUUUUUUUUUUACAACCUGCCAAGAGGUUACCCACCACGAGAUGGUCACAAGCAGUGGUUUCACUGCGUUGUGCCUGAUCGCUAAGAUCCAACAAACGGAGGAUACCAUCCCCAAAGAACAACAGAUCCUUAUCAGCAGGAUCCAAGAAUUAGAGGACAACAAAACAGUCCUUAAAAACAUCUGCCUGUGCUUAAAAAAAAAAAAAAGGCCGGCAGACGGAGAUGGACAAAAUGAGGCAUAAGAUGCAGGACAAGGAGAUAAAGAAAUAGGAGAGAGAAGAAAAAGCAGACCAUCCAGGACGUCAACAUCAACGUGCCUGAGACUGGACACCUAUAAGAACACCUUCCUUCACCUCCCACUCCAUCCUACCUCAUCCAUCUACCCUGAAAAAAACUAAAAAAAGAUCUAAAAAAAAAAAAAAGAGAUCUGAAAAAAAAGAGAUCUAAAAAAGAAAGAUCUAAAAAGAAAAAAAGAUCCCAGAGGGAUUCUCUGGCUGCUUAUUUUUUUUACAACCUGCUCAGUCUUGCACAUUUCCCAUACCUCAUUUCUGCCUUAUUUUUAUUUCAUGUACAUUUAUUUAAAUAUUGUUUUGUUAUUUUUUAUUUUGUAAUUGGUUGGCUUUAAUUAACUGUACUGUUAAUUUAUAUUGCACACAUUUCAUUUCAUUUUUUUUUUUACAACCUGCUCGGUUUUGCACAUUUCCGCUUACCUCAUUUGUGCCUUCUUUUUAUUUCAUGUACAUUUAAGUAAAUAUUGUAUUUUUAUUUUUGUUUUUAUUUUAAAAUUGGUCGGCUUUAUAGAAAAGGCGAGCACCACGAGCUGGUCACAAGCAGUGGUUUCACUGAGUUGUGCCUGAUCUCUAAGAUCCAACAAAUGGAGGAUACCAUCCCCAGGGA